rnacentral:rRNA from 1 species
CAAACAAUGCUGGGGUACGAUGCGGAGCGAAAUUUAGUAGCGAAGUAGCUGAUUUCACACUGUCGAGAAAAGUCUCUAUCGAGGUUAAAGGUGCCUGUACCGCAAACCGACACAGGUGGGUGAGGAGAGUAUCCUAAGGCCAGCGAGAGAACUGUUGUUAAGGAACUCGGCAAAAUGACCCCGUAACUUCGGGAGAAGGGGUGCCUUCGAAAGAAGGCCGCAGAGAAUAGGCCCAAGCGACUGCUUACCAAAAACAUAGGUUUCUGCUAAGUCGCAAGACGAUGUAUAGGAGCUGGCGCCUGCCCGGUGCUGGAAGGUUAAGGGGAUCUGUUAGAGCAAUCGAAGCAGUGAACUUAAGCCCCAGUAAACGGCGGCCGUAACGAUAACGGUCCUAAGGUAGCGAAAUUCCUUGUCGGGUAAGUUCCGACCCGCACGAAAGGCGUAACGAUUUGGGCACUGUCUCAACAACAGACUCGGUGAAAUUGUAAUACCGGUGAAGAUGCCGGUUACCUGCGUCAGGACGGAAAGACCCCAUGGAGCUUUACUGUAGCUUGACAUUGAGUCUCGGUGCUACAUGUACAGGAUAGGUGGGAGACUGUGAAGCAUGGACGUCAGUCUGUGUGGAGUCAUCCUUGGGAUACCACCCUUGCAGUACUGGGAUUCUAACCAGAGGCCAUGAAUCUGGUCUUGGGACACUGUCAGGUGGACAGUUUGACUGGGGCGGUCGCCUCCCAAAAAGUAACGGAGGCGCUCAAAGGUUCUCUCAGUACGGUCGGAAAUCGUACGAAGAGUGUAAAGGCAAAAGAGAGCUUGAUUGCAAGACAUACAGGUCGAGCAAGGACGAAAGUCGGACUUAGUGAUCCGGUGGUUCCGCAUGGAAGGGCCAUCGCUCAACGGAUAAAAGCUACCCUGGGGAUAACAGGCUGAUCUCCCCCAAGAGUCCACAUCGACGGGGAGGUUUGGCACCUCGAUGUCGGCUCAUCACAUCCUGGGGCUGUAGUAGGUCCCAAGGGUUGGGCUGUUCGCCCAUUAAAGUGGUACGCGAGCUGGGUUCAGAACGUCGUGAGACAGUUCGGUCCCUAUCCGUCGCAGGCGUAGGAAAUUUGAGGAGACCUGUCCUUAGUACGAGAGGACCGGGAUGGACGUACCGCUGGUGUACCAGUUGUUCUGCCAAGGGCAUGGCUGGGUAGCUAAGUACGGAAAGGAUAAGCGCUGAAAGCAUCUAAGCGCGAAGCCCACUUCAAGAUAAGAUUUCCCACCGCAAGGUUAAGAUCCCAGGAAGACUACCUGGUUGAUAGGUCAGAGGUGUAAGUGCAGUAAUGUAUUUAGCUUACUGAUACUAAUAGAUCGAGGACUUGACCAA